CAGAAAAUAAUUUAACUUAAAAUUCUUCGCUUACACCGAAGUUAUAUUUGUGAAAAUCAAAUUUUUCUGA
rnacentral:tRNA from 1 species